rnacentral:tRNA from 1 species
UCACGGGUGGGCCGUGGUGUCCGGGCCGGACUGUUCGAGCUCGUCCAGUCUGCGGCGCAGGUGGGCCCGUUCGGGUUCGGUGCCGGCGAG